rnacentral:lncRNA from 1 species
ACAGCUCCACCUGGAGGCACAAAGCCUGGAGCCCCCGUGUCCUAAUUUAGGACACUUUGAAGAGCAUCCCAGUUCCAGAGCUCCCCACAGGAUCUGCCGAGGCCACCGUCCGCCGUCCACUCCUGCUGUCUUUCCUCAGCGAGUGCCUGCACACUGAUCUGAUGCUUUCCGAGUCAGCUUCCCAGGAACUGGACCCGGGCCCGGGAGACCUCUGGUCUGCAAGCCUUAAGAACGUAGUCCUGCACCCCAUUUUUUUAGCAUCACGUUGUGUGACUCAGGCCAGUCCCAGGUCCUCUCUGGGCCUUUAGCUGCAGAGGGAGCAGAUUUGACCGUAAAGUGCCGUCCAGCUUGGACCAUCCUCGAGCUGUGCUGAAACAUGAGCUCGGGGUCACUGGGCGAGAUCUGCUGUCUCCUGAGUGGGGACACAUGUCCCUGUUUACCUGUGGCCUUUUCAGGGAAGCUGCUGCUCCCAGAAAGAGGAGACCUGUGGCCCCACCUGAAUGCAAUGAGCAGCCUGGAGUCCGACCCAGCUGACCUGAAGCCUGUGGCAGAGGCGCCAUCAGCAUUUAGCAGUGAAAUUGCGGUCGAUCUGCAUUUAUCUGGGAUGACCAUCUCAGAGAGGGGAAAGAAAAAGCCAGCAACUUUUCCCAGCAACCCCCUGGCUGCUGCUGGAUUCCAGGCCUCACCAUCUCUUACUUGGAAUAUUACAACCCUGCCACUGUCUGCUCCCCUUCCACGUCUCCUUUCACCACGUAAAGCCCAGCUGGUCCUGUUACUGCCCUGCUGGUGAGCCAGCCCUGGCUUCGGCUGCCUCUAAUAAGGUAGGGUCCAAACUCUUUCCGAGGGGUCAAGGCCCCUCCUAUUGUCAGCCUGGAUAUGCCUCUCCAGCUUCAUCCCCCACCGCAGCUCUUCAGGGGCCUUGACAUGAAUUUGCACACAUCUGCAGUGGCCUUCUUCCAUGUUUUUGAGCACACCCAUCUCUCUGCCCGGGACUGUUCACCCUGCCUUCUCCACCUGUCAAAUCACGCCAGACCUUCAAGCCCUGCUUAGGGCUUUCUUCUCCUGCAACUAUUCCUGGAUUCCCACGACCCCGGAUAGAACCACUGCCUCCUUCAUCAGAGCCCUAGAGCCUGUCCAUUGCCCCCCUUUUGUUUUGCAUGCAGGAUAUUGACACCCGUGUCUUGUUCAGCCUGCGUGAGCCCUUGGAGAUCUGGGAUCUCAGCCCUUGCAUCUCCUCAGCACCCCUGCCUCCAGCAGGGUCAGACAGGCAGGGCUGCUAGGUGAGUGUUUGUCGAAUUGGGCUGAAUUCUUUGCCUCGUGUCUCAGCUGCAGGGACAGCAAGGCAGUGGGUUUGGCUCCACGUCCUCGGAGAGUCUCCCAGAGGCACCCUCCCUCCUCCCCCCACCCCAGCUUCUUAAGGAUGCUCAGCCUUUGCCCUCUGUUUGGGCUCAGAGACAAAUAC